UACGGAGGGUGCGAGCGUUGUCCGGAAUCACUGGGCGUAAAGGGCGCGUAGGUGGCCUGUGGAAGUCUGCGGUGAAAGCCCGGCGCUCAACGCCGGGUCGGCCGUGGAUACUCUCGGGCUCGAGCUUACUAGAGGCAGAUGGAAUUCCGGGUGUAGCGGUGGAAUGCGUAGAGAUCCGGAAGAACACCGGUGGCGAAGGCGGCCUGCUGGGCAGUAGCUGACGCUGAUGCGCGACAGCGUGGGGAGCAAACAGG
rnacentral:rRNA from 1 species